rnacentral:rRNA from 1 species
UACGUAGGUGGCAAGCGUUGUCCGGAAUCAUUGGGCGUAAAGCGCGCGUAGGCGGCCCGGUAAGUCCGCUGUAAAAGUCAAAGGCUCAACCUUUGAAUGUCAGUGGAUACUGCCGGGCUAGAGUCCGGAAGAGGCGAGUGGAACUCCUGGUGUAGCGGUGGAAUGCGCAGAUAUCAGGAAGAACACCGACGGCGAAGGCAGCUCGCUGGGACGGUACUGACGCUGAGGCGCGAAAGGCGUGGGGAGCGAACAGG